AUUGAACGCUGGCGGCAUGCCUUACACAUGCAAGUCGAACGGUAACAGGUCUUCGGAUGCUGACGAGUGGCGAACGGGUGAGUAAUACAUCGGAACGUGCCUAGCAGUGGGGGAUAACUACUCGAAAGAGUGGCUAAUACCGCAUGAGAUCUACGGAUGAAAGCAGGGGAUCGCAAGACCUUGUGCUACUAGAGCGGGCGAUGGCAGAUUAGGUAGUUGGUGGGAUAAAAGCUUACCAAGCCGACGAUCUGUAGCUGGUCUGAGAGGACGAUCAGCCACACUGGGACUGAGACACGGCCCAGACUCCUACGGGAGGCAGCAGUGGGGAAUUUUGGACAAUGGGCGCAAGCCUGAUCCAGCAAUGCCGCGUGCAGGAUGAAGGCCUUCGGGUUGUAAACUGCUUUUGUACGGAACGAAAAGCCCUGGGUUAAUACCCUGGGGUCAUGACGGUACCGUAAGAAUAAGCACCAGCUAACUACGUGCCAGCCGCCGCAGUAA
rnacentral:rRNA from 1 species